AAUGACAUCCAUUGUCGGCGGCUCUGCGUUUGAUUAUAAGAUAAUGACAAUAAUUCAUUGUUGGCGGCUGUUCACCUUGAGACAAGGUAACCACAAGUUUAAAGGAAGAUGUAUAAGAGGUAAAUUAUAUGUUGCUAAAUAUGAAACAGCACCUCACUUGUCCUGGUUUAUAACAAUAAAAACAACAAUUUUCGAUAGAACAUAUAUUUAGUCGGGUUUUCCCCCUAGGAGAGAGACUGAGACACUGAUCCUUGCAUAAUUACUACGAAGGAAAAUCCCGCUAAAUUGUUAGGUUCAGAUACUGUACGAAACCUUCUUCUUGAACUGCGGGAACCACUCGGAGCCUUUUCUGGACCUUUGGCUUCCUGUCCCAGCCAGGUCUUUGCUGAUCACGGAACUAAGGUCACCAGGGCGGGGAUUUUAAACAUAGCACCUGUUUGCAAACACAGUCGUCUCAUGGAUCAGAAACAGAGCUACUCCUGUGCAAAAUCGGAAUUUCCUCGUGCAAAACGGAGCUACGCCUCAAACUCCGCCCUUUUCUCGGAGUCUCCUGUUCCCUCCACGCUCAGCUGUCGCCGCCUACCCCCUGCCUGGACUGGUUGCACCUGUUGUGCCGCGGUCACCCGGCCCGCAGCCUCGCCUGCCGGGGUCUUUCCUCCACCAGCAGACACACGAAUCUUUGAACCCUCCGGUCAGAUCCAAUCGUUCCUCCGGGAGGGAGUUUGGUGGUGCCUCAUAAAGCCGAAUGUAUUCGGACCAUACGACCCCCCUCCACCCCGCUCCCAACUACUUGCCCAGAUGAGAAAAGUAACGUCCACAUGAAGAAAGAAUCUGCACAUGAAUCUUUCUAGUAGUUUAUUGGUCGUCGUCCAAAACUGGAAGCCACCGAGAAAGUUCUGAGCGAACGACUCAUUUAGAAGUUCAGAUAAACAGAUUAACAAACUGUGGUACAUCCAGCCGAUGGAAUACUACUGAGCCAACAAAAGGAAUGAGCUGUCAAGCCACAGAGAGAGAAGAUUUGCUGCAAACAGAUCCACACAAAGAAGGCACUGAACACAUAGUUCCUGCCCAGGCUGUCUCAUACAAGCCGUAACUUCUGCCCGUCCUAUCAGCCAGCGAACAGCACUGAAGGUAGACACCAAGUUAUCUUGUCCACCAGUCUUAUUUCCAGUGAUGAAUCCAAUGUCUGGUGAGAAGCAAGUCCACCAUAAAUAUUCAUUGAUUGAGUGAAUGAUUGUUUUGUCAUCUGAAAGACAGACAAAGGAUACUUAUGC